AUUGAACGCUGGCGGCAGGCCUAACACAUGCAAGUCGAGCGGACCCUUCGGGGUUAGUGGCGGACGGGUGAGUAACACGUGGGAACGUGCCUUUUGGUUCGGAACAACUCAGGGAAACUUGAGCUAAUACCGAAUGUGCCCUUCGGGGGAAAGAUUUAUCGCCAUUAGAGCGGCCCGCGUCUGAUUAGCUUGUUGGUGAGGUUAUGGCUCACCAAGGCGACGAUCAGUAGCUGGUCUGAGAGGAUGAUCAGCCACAUUGGGACUUAGACACGGCCCAAACUCCUACGUGAGGCAGCAGUUGGGAAUCUUGCGCAAUGGGCGAAAGCCUGACGCAGCCAUGCCGCGUGAAUGAUGAAGGUCUUAGGAUGGUAAAAUUCUUUCACCGGGGACGAUAAUGACGGUACCGGGAGAAGAAGCCCCGACUAACUGCGUGCCAGACGCCGCAGUAACAC
rnacentral:rRNA from 1 species